UGUACUUGUCAAGAAGUUCGGAGAGACCGUAACCCAAGCUUUGACCCUGUACUCACAUUUUCCUAAAACUUCUAUUACUUAUUUUGCUGAACAUGCAGAUGUGUUUAUCAAAGCAAUCUCCAGAGCACAACAGAUGGAAAAUAGAUGGAAGAUAAAAUCCAACAAAGAAGCACAAAAUUGCUCCCAUACUUCAUAGAUCAGUUCCAAAGAGAAAGGAUAUUGCUCCCCACCAUGCCGAAUAAUUGGCCGGCCAUAGCAUUCACAAGAAACUUGAACGAAAAUAGUUCGAAAUCUAUAAGGAAACUGAAAGACAGUCUUCGAGAAUUCCUGCCCAAGACGUGGAACGAUGUAUAUCCCGAUAUAACACUGAAUUUCGGAUAGAAGAACACAUUUCAACUCUCCCUAGAUCCGAAAGCAAAGAAACGAAGGGGUAUACUCACCAAUCAAAGACAAAUCGUAAACAUGAAUAUUCUGGACAUAGAGACUUUAGUGUCCAAUAUGAACCUUAUCCUAGGCCCCUGCAUCGAUAAAAAUACAGGAGACAAAGGCCAAUCCGGAAUGACAGAAAUCCCCGAUAGGGAAACAAUCCAGUGCUACAUCAAGUAGGAAAGGAACCUAAAACAUCAAAGGUUAGUCAUCAUCAUUUUAAGCAAAAUCUCCCUGACCACAAAUUCAAUAUUAAUGUAUUUGAAUUAGUAGUGGUACUAAAAGAUAUGGGAAACAAGAUAAGGAAGCUAAAAGAAAUGAGAAUGGAUCUAAGCAAAUGGAGACAGGAAUUCCGGUUGGGGUUCCAUAAUGAUACAGGACUACCUAUUGGAGAAUCCUUCAAAAUGAAGUCGACCACCUCCUCAAACAGGGAUAUCUCACUAAACUCUUCAGUGAGGAAAGAGAGGCAGUCUUAUAUGAAGAACCGAAAUAAGGAAGAGCCGCCACGAGUCCUGUCACUAAAAUGAACAUUUAAUGUUAUUUAGAGGGGAAGAAUUGAAUGAAGUGACUUUCACAGUAGCAAAUAAGUUCCCAAAAGUAUCGUUCUUAUAUAAAUAAACGUACUCGAUAGAUGUUCUCUGGAGAAAGUAUAACUUUUGAUGAUGAAGAUGUAGACGGCCUGACCUUGACCCAUAAUGAUGCUCUAGUAAUAACUGUGCAAAUUCUAGAUGUUAAUGUUAGAUGAAUUUUGGUUGAUCCAGGAAGCUAAGAAAAUAUCAUCCAAUUACGGUUGAUCGAGAUGAUGCAACUCAUGGUCCAGACACCUCGAAAGCACAGAUGAUCUCCCAUUUCAACAAUCUAGUGAAAUGACCCGAUGUGAGAUUAUUUUAAUAAUAUUUACAAAAAGGGUAGUCCAUGAAACCCCAUUUUAUGUGGUAUCCUGUGGCAUGGACUACAGUGCCAUCCUAGGAGGCCUUGGAUUC
rnacentral:lncRNA from 1 species